CGACUAUGUGAGAGAAUAAAUGCUUGUUAAUUCAAGCUGCUAUGCUUUGGGGGUCUCCCUAUGUUGCCCGUGCUGGUGCGGAACUCCUGGAGUCAAGGGAUCCUCUCACCGUGGCCUCCCAAAGUGCUGGGAUUACAGGCUUGAGCCACCGCGCCCGGUCGACAACGCAAUUCUUACAUUGGAUUACAUUUCCAAACCCAUCCCUGUGGUGCACAGGCCCUGAGUUGACCCCCAGUGAUCCACACUUCUGUAUGAUCUUCUGGAGCAUAGUGGGAUCUGUGACUUCCUUUCCCACAAUGGGAUAUGGCAAAGGAAAUGGGUUAUCAUUCUGUUAAUUAGACUCCAUCAUCGCGGAUUUUUUUUUUCCCCAAAGACAGGGUCCCAGUCUGUGGCUCAGGCUGGAGUGCCGUAGCGCAGUCACAGCUCACUGCAGCCCCAACCUCCGAGCUCAAGUGCUUCUCCUGUCUCAGCCUCAUAAGUAGCUUGGGGCCACAGGUGCCACCACAUCCAGCUAAUUAAAUUUUUUCUUUUUUUUUUUGGAGAGACAGGGUUUUGCCAUAUUGCCCAGGCUGGUCUUAGACUCCUGGGCUCAAGCAAUCCUCCCAUCUCAGCCUCCCAGUGUUAGCAUUACAGGUGUGAGCUAUCAUGCCUGGCCAGGAAGCCUUCUUAACAAGGAACUGUGUGUGGCUGAGGGCCACUUCCAGAUGACAGCCAGUAAGACUCUGGGGCCCUCAGUCAGAAAGCCAAACAGAAAUGAAUUUUACUAGCAGCCCAAGGGAGCUUGGAAGCAGAUCUUUCUCCAGAUGAGUCUCUAAUGAGACCACAGCCCUCUUCAGCACGUGGAUUGCAGCAGGGGGAAAGAGAACACAUAGCUAAGCUCUCUGCGAUAUUUCGGACCUACAGCAAUUGUUUUUUGUUUGUUUUGUUAUUGUUCUUUUGAGACAUAGUCUCACUUUGUCACCUAGGCGGGAGCACAGUGGUGCAAUCACGGCUCACUGCAGCCUCAGCCUCCCAGAUUCAGGCAACUCUCACAUCUGAACCUCCUGAGUAGCUGGGACUAUAGGUGCAUGCCACCAUGCCGGCCUAAUUUUUGUAUUUUUUGUUUUUUGUAGUAUGGGGUCUUGCUAGGUUGCCCAGCCUCAUCUUGAACACCUGGGCUCAAGUCAUCGGCCCACCUAAGCCUCUCACAGUGUUGGGGUAACAGGUGUGAGCCAUUGCACAAGGCCUCUCCUGUUUAGUCUUGAAAGCAUCUUUUUUUUUUUUUUUGAGACACAGUUUCACUUCCAUCACCCACACUGGGGUGCAGUGGUGCGAUCUUGGCUCACUGUAACCUCCACCUCCUGGGCUCCAGCGAUUCUCCUGCCUCAGCCUCCCCAGAAGCUGGGAUCACAGGUAUCCACCACCAUGCCCGGCUAAUUUCAAAGCAUUUUUCUGGGGAGCUGCACGUCAUCACAGAGCCAGGGGACUUUGUGCAGUCACGUUAGCAAGCAGAGAUGAGCAAACAUCGCUUCUAACCUUUGCUUCUGUCUCCCAACCGCAGUUUCUGCUUCCCUUUUCCAGGAUGCUUUCCUCUGUCUCAGAUCCCUCUCCACCUUUGUCUUCCAAAGUCGCUUGUCAUUGGAUCGAUGGCCCACACAGGGGAGGCGAGAGGAUCUCCUCUCAAGGUCUUUAUCUGCAUCUGCAGUGAUUCUGCGAUGGUUAAUACUGGGUGUCAGUCAACUUGAUUGAAGGAGGCAGAGUAUUGUUCCUGGGUGUGUCUGUGAGGGUGUCGCCAAAGGGGAUGAACAUUUGAGUCAGCUGGCUGGGAAAGGCAGACUCACCCUUCAUCUGGGUGGGCACCAUUUAGUCAGCUGCCAGUCUGGCUAGAAUAGAAAGCAGGCAGAAAAAUGUGAACGGACUAGACGGGCCUAGCCUCCCAGCCUACAUCUUUCUCCCGUGCUGGAUGCAUCCUGCCCUCGAACAUCAGACUCCAAGUUCUUCAGUUUUGGGACGUGGGCUGACUCUCCUUGCUUCUCGGCUUGCAGAUGUCCUAUUGUGGGACCUUGUGAUCGUGUGAGUUAUAGUUAAUAAACUCCCCUUUAGAGCUGUAUCUAUCCUGUUC
rnacentral:lncRNA from 13 species